UGGUGGAAUACGAGCAUAACCAGUCGCACGCACAGAACAGAAGGGGGGAAAGAAACCCCAAAUCGCUGCUGACCUGCUAUUGUUGUUCGAGUUCGAGGGCAGGGGUCUUGAACUUACUCGAUUUCUUCACGAAUCAUCCUCAGGUUGAAAUUGGGGGUGAAUUUUAGCCCUAAACUUGUUGAAAUUGUCAAUCUUCGACGAAUUCUUCUUGAAUCUUCAUAAGGUAUGUAUUAUGCUAUGGGAUUGACCGGCUGCUGCUGUGCCUGCUCUUGUUCGACUGCAAGCUGCUGCGCUACUUGUUGUGAUCUUGUUUGACUUUUCCAAUCUUCAUCAGGUUAAAGGUAUGUGUUUUUCUAUCUUUAGGUUUAAUUUAGGGCUACAAUUUAUGUGAUUUAGGUUGAAAUUAGGGGAGAAUUUUAACCCUAAACUUGUUGAAAUUAGGGGUGAAUUUUAGCCCUAAACUUGUGAUUUAGGUAGAAAUUAGGGGCAGAACUGAAAUUAGG
rnacentral:lncRNA from 1 species